rnacentral:lncRNA from 1 species
CUUAAAUUUAGCCCUACCCUCAACCCACUGCAGCUCUUACUACCCAUGGGUCCUGUCCCCAUGCUAUUCUCUGAAUAAAGGAGCACUACUGCCAGAGCUUGAGAGUCCAAGAAAUCUUUCUUUCGACUCCUCCUCGGCUUGCCGAGCCUGCAUCACCUGGAACCUCAGAAUGUGAUCUUACGUCAGAGUGUGAAAUAGGGUCUUUGCAGAUGUAAUUAGUUAAGACAAGAUCUUACUGGAUUAGAAUGGGCCCUAAAUCCAAGGACGGGUGUCUUUAUAAGAGAAAGGAGAGGGAGAUUCAGACACAGACCCAGGCAAGAAACCACGUGACAGUGGAGCAGAGAUUGGAGUGACGUAUCUACAAGCCAAGGAGCAAGGACUGCGGGCUGCCACGAGAAACGAGAGGAGCGUGGGACAGUCUCCCUCAGAGGCUCCAGAGGGGGCCAAACCUGCUGACAACUCGAGUUCAGACCUCGGGCCUCCCGAACUUCCAGAGAAUGCAUUUCUGUUAAGACACCUGGUUUAUGGUGAUUUGUUACUGCAGACACAGGAAACUCUGACCCAGUCUGAAAGAGGUGAGCACAUGCCAGGACACACCCAGUAGACAUUGGGAGCAGAGGCUGAGACACCUCCAUCAUUUACUAGCUUUGUGUCCUUGGGCAAGGACUCAACCUCUGAGGGUCAGUCCAUCCACGUCAGAAUACUAGCUUCUGAUGCUUUGUGCUCAGUGACCUGGACCCAGCGGUGGAAGGACCCGGCACGCAGAGAGGGUGCUCGGCACAUACUGUGUUAGUCACGUCCCUCCCCCCGCCCCGAACUCUCCCCAUUCAGCACCGUGGACUCAGUCCCUCCUUCUCUGCAGUCAGAAUGAACAGGGGAAGGAGCCCAGGUCUGGGGGUGAGAAAGAGCUCAGCCACUUACCAGCUCUGUGGCCCGGGGCUGGAUACGCUGCACCACUGGGCCUCAAGAUUUCAUCAGGAAAAUGAAACUAAGAAAACCUCCCUCAGGUGGUUUGUUAUGGACUAAACGUGUGUGCCCCCCAAAAUUCAUAUGCUGAAGCCCUCCCCGCCAAUGUGAUGGCAUUUGGAGGUAGACUCUUUGGGAGGUAAUGAGGUUUAGAUGAGGUCAUGAGGUCAGGGACCCCAUAAUGGGAUGAGUGUCCUUUUAAGCAGAGGAAGAGAGAGCAGAGCUCGCUCUCCCGGCCGUGUAAGCAGGUGGCCCUCUGCAAGCCAGGCCUCGCCAGGAGCCAGAUCUGCGGGCACCUUGGUCUUGGACUUUCCAGCCUCCGCAAGUGUGAGAAAUAAUGUCUGCUGUUCACGCCAUGCCCUCUAAGGUGUUUUGUUCUGGCAGCCUGAGCGAAGAUGGUUAGUCAUCUGCUCACUCACCAAAUACUGACUGAGCAAGUACUGGGCAUCAGGUGCUCUUCUGGUGCUCGGGAGAGAGCUGGAACAAAACAGACUCCCUGCCGACAGGAGCCACCACCACAGGAUGGGGAAAGAGAAACAACAGACAGAGGUACGCCGGCGUGUCCAUUCCCAGCGGAUGAGGACAGAAGAAGUUGUUGUGGGUUAAAUGAACUCUGCGUAAAGGGUUUGACCCACGGCAAGCAUUCACGCAAUGUUAGCUUUUAUCUCAUAAUUCCCUCUUCUGACAUCUCUGUUUUGACUCAUGGCACCAUUAUUCUCCCACUACACAAACUUGACACUUGGGGAUUGUGGUAGGCAGGCUAAUGGCCCCCAAAGAUGUCCACGUCCUAAUGCCCAGAACUAGCUAAUAUGUCACCUUCCAUGGCAAAAAGGAAUUAAGGUUGCAGACGGAAUGAAGGUUUCUAAUCGGCUGACCUUGAGAAGGGGAGACUCUCCCAGAUUUUCGGGGUGGGCCCACUGUAACCAUAAGUCCUUAUAAGUGGCAGAGGGAGGCAGAAAAGAGCCAGAAAGAUGGCAGCACGAGAAGGUCUUCGCCCAACAUUGCUGGCGUUGCGAACGGGAGGGGACCAUGAGCCAAGGAAUGCAGGCGGUCUCUAGAAGCUGAAAAAGGAAAAGGGGUGAAUCCUUCUCUGGAGCCUCCAGAAUAAUGCAGCCUUGACGGCACCUUGAUUUCCGCCCAGUGAAACCCAUUUUGGGCUUCUGGCCUCCAGAACUGUAGGAUAAUAAGUUUGUAUGGUUUCAAGCCGCUGAGUUGGUCACCAUUUGUUACCGCAGCCAUAGUACGGGGACCAUUUUGGACUUCCUCUCCCUUUCCUCCAUUUCUGCUCUUUGGAAAGUUGAUGGUUCUACCUUUUAAGGUUUUCUGCAAUCAUGCCUCUCCACUCACAGCCAUUACCCCACUUUAGAUCCUGGUUGACCAAAUUAAAUUCCACAAGGUUUUACUUUGUGCCAGAUUUUGAAGAAAAUAGAUAUAUUUUUAAAAACACAGUCCCUGCCCUAAGAAGCUAUUAUAAUACAGUGUGAAAAGCACUACAAUAAGCGGGGUUGAGGGGGUUGAAGGAGUGAAGUCGUAAGGAAAGCUUUCCAAAAGGAAAUGAAGUCUCAGGAGGUGAGGAGGGUGUGAUGUGGAGCAUUCUAGGCAAAGAGAAUAGUCUGUGCAAAGGUCCUGUGUUCACCAGCCCUCAAGAUGGCCCUUAACGACCGCUGACUCAUGCUAUUCACAUCUUUGCGUAAUCCCUUCCCACACUAAAUAAGGCUGACUUACAUAACAAAUACGAUACGAUGGAAAUGACCAAGUGUGACUUCUGAGGCAGCUUCCCAUAGGCUCUCCUGGAUCACUCAGACUAGGGGAAGUCAGCAGCCCUAUUGUGAGGAAACAUAGGAGCCUUAUGCAGCGGCUCACACAGCAAGGAGCUGAGGCCUCCAGCCAACAGCCCUGUGAGGGAGCCCCUGGGAGGUGACUCCUCCAGACCCAGUCAAGUCUUCAGAUGCCUGCACCCCCAGCUGACAUCAACCUCAGGGAGGACCCUGAGCCAGAACCCUGAGCUGCUCCCAGAUGUGUGACCCACAGAAUCUGUAAAAUAAUAAAUCUUUGUUGGUUUAAGCCACUAAGUUUUGGGGUGAUUUGUUA